GAAACGACUGCUAAGACUGGAUAGGAAAAGUAAAGGCAUCUUUACUUUUUUAAAAGACCUUCUUUGAAGGUAUACUUAAGGAGGGGCUUGCGACACAUUAGUUAGUUGGCAGGGUAAAGGCCUACCAAGACUAUGAUGUGUAGCUGGACUGAGAGGUUGAACAGCCACAUUGGGACUGAGACACGGCCCAAACUCCUACGGGAGGCAGCAGUAGGGAAUUUUCGGCAAUGGAGGAAACUCUGACCGAGCAACGCCGCGUGAACGAUGAAGUACCUCGGUAUGUAAAGUUCUUUUAUUAAGGAAGAAAAAAGAGUGGAAAAACUCCCUUGACGGUACUUAAUGAAUAAGCCCCGGCUAAUUAUGUGCCAGCAGCCGCGGUAAUACAUAAGGGGCGAGCGUUAUCCGGAAUUAUUGGGCGUAAAGGGUGCGUAGGCGGUUUAAUAAGUCUAUAGUUUAAUUUCAGCGCUUAACGCUGUUGUGCUAUAGAAACUGUUUUACUAGAGUGAGUUAGAGGCAAGCGGAAUUCCAUGUGUAGCGGUAAAAUGCGUAAAUAUAUGGAGGAACACCAGAGGCGUAGGCGGCUUGCUGGGACUUUACUGACGCUGAGGCACGAAAGCGUGGGGAGCAAACAGGAUUAGAUACCCUGGUAGUCCACGCCGUAAACGAUGAGUACUAAGUGUCGGGUAAAACCGGUACUGAAGUUAACACAUUAAGUACUCCGCCUGAGUAGUACGUACGCAAGUAUGAAACUUAAAGGAAUUGACGGGACUCCGCACAAGCGGUGGAUCAUGUUGUUUAAUUCGAAGAUACACGAAAAACCUUACCAGGUCUUGACAUUUUCUUGCGAAGUUAUAGAAAUAUAAUGGAGGUUAUCAGGAAAACAGGUGGUGCAUGGUUGUCGUCAGCUCGUGUCGUGAGAUGUUAGGUUAAGUCCUAAAACGAGCGCAACCCUUGUCGUUAAUUGCCAGCAUAUAAUGAUGGGGACUUUAACGAGACUGCCAAUGAAAAAUUGGAGGAAGGUGGGGAUUACGUCAAAUCAUCAUGCCCCUUAUGAUCUGGGCUACAAACGUGAUACAAUGGUUGAUACAAAGAGUAGCUGAAACGCGAGUUCUUAGCCAAUCUCACAAAAUCAAUCUCAGUUCGGAUUGAAGUCUGCAACUCGACUUCAUGAAGUUGGAAUCGCUAGUAAUCGCGAAUCAGCAUGUCGCGGUGAAUACGUUCUCGGGGUUUGUACACACCGCCCGUCA
rnacentral:rRNA from 1 species